ACCCUUAGUGGUCAACGCUGGCACUCCACCGGUAUUGUUUCAUCUACCUUUAGUUCAGUUCGCGUUAGGUGUUCGUCAGGUUCGUUACGGUACGACAAUCCGCGGCGCGUUUCUCGCUAGUUCCUUCACCUGUUUAUUGAUUCAACUGAGAUAUGUGAGAGGUUACUACUAUACAUCAAGGAAUAAAUGUUUACGUGUAUGUGGUGUAGUGCACUGUAGAAGCAAUCGAUUUUUCCCAUGUGCAUUGUGUGGUUUAGAAUUUGAAUACAUAUCCGUUGGCGAAUACACACAUAAAUAUAUAUAGCUAAUUAGCAACAUCAAAAGCCAUGAGGAAAGCUAUGUAUCAGUGAAGGGUAGAUUCUUGGCUGGGUCAUAAGUGCAUAAAUUUGUGAAUUAAGUGAAGCAUUGGGGGUAAUUUAUUUUAGCUGAAAGAAAAAAAAAAAUCAUCAGAUAAGCAUGAGUCAACUUGGCACGGUGUAUGCCACUAAGCGGAGGCGUCGCAAUGGAAAAAGUUUAAAAGCACCACCCAAAGAGGGCAUGACAAAAAGUAACCCUUCCAAAAGACAUCGAGAACGACUCAAUGCAGAGCUAGAUCUGCUAGCUUCGCUGCUUCCAUUCGAGCAAAAUAUUCUAAGUAAACUAGACCGACUGAGUAUUUUACGGCUAUCCGUUAGUUAUCUAAGAACUAAGAGUUAUUUUCAAGUCGUUAUGCAUAAGUCUAAGGAAGAAAAUGGCAUAGGCAAUUCAGUACAUCCUCAUGAUUCGUAUCGAACGAGGGAAAUAGGAAGCUUCGAAACAGGUCCACUGGAUGGAGAAAUGUUUCUACAGGCUUUAAAUGGUUUCAUAAUUAUCCUGACCUGCGAAGGAGAGGUGUUUUUUGCAACCCACACCAUUGAAAGCUAUUUAGGGUUUCAUCAGUCGGACAUCGUCCAUCAGUCAGUUUACGAGCUAGUUCACUCCGAAGAUCGCGAGGAGCUCCAGCGACAGCUUUUGUGGAAUACAUUUUUACCGGCGGACCUAUCCGGACUGCAACUGACCGACGCCCUGGUACCUGAGAAAUCCACACUACUGGAACGCAGUUUCACCGUGAGGUUCAGGUGUUUACUCGAUAACACAUCUGGCUUUUUGCGGCUAGACAUUCGGGGGCGAGUGAAAAUAUUGCAUGGCCAAAAUCGCAAGGUCGAAGAGCCUCCUUUAGCUUUAUUCGCCUUUUGUACACCAUUUGGACCACCUAGUCUAUUAGAAAUUCCACAGAAGGAAAAUAUGUUUAAAUCAAAACAUAAGCUAGAUUUUACGUUAGUUUCCAUGGAUCAGAAAGGUAAAAUGACGUUGGGAUACUCAGAUUCCGAGCUCGCAAAUAUGGGCGGAUAUGAUCUAGUACAUUUCGAUGACUUGGCUUAUGUGGCAAGUGCACAUCAAGAAUUGCUAAAGACUGGCGCAUCAGGAAUGAUCGCAUAUCGAUACCAAAAAAAGAACGGAGAAUGGCAGUGGCUGCAAACAAGUUCCAGAUUAGUUUAUAAGAAUUCGAAACCAGACUUCAUCAUAUGUACUCACAGACAGCUGAUGGAAGAAGAAGGCAGAGAUCUCCUCGGCAAGCGAACAAUGGAUUUUAAAGUUAGCUAUUUAGACACUGGAUUAACGUCGACAUACUUUACUGACGCAGAUCAACUGAUCGUGACCCCUAGUGGAUCCCCAACAGCUGCUACUACGUCGCCCGUUUCUUCUACGCAACGUUACAAUCGCCGAUAUAAAACUCAACUCCGAGACUUUUUAUCCACAUGUCGAUCCAAACGGAAGCUGCAGCAAUCUCCCGGUGGACAGGUUACCUCGCCCGUGCAGAUGGUCGAAUACGUAAAUGAUCCUGCUGUGGCCGUUGCAGCAGCCUACUCGAAUCUGAAUCCCAUGUAUACCACAUCGCCAUACGUUUCGACCGAGAGUAUGUACAUGACUCCACCGGCUCACUCGUCGAACUUCUACUCCGUGUCUGACAACAUAUUUCAUCAGUACCGGCUGCAGGGCGUCGGAGGAUAUUUCCCAGAGUAUGCAUCUACACCAGCUCCCUAUAUAGCAAACAAUGGAUUUGUUCCUUAUGAAGGUUAUGGCAUAGCAAAAGACGAGCGAUGGCACGACGCUGAAAAAUGCAUGCCCGAAAACGAUCCUAUCAAUCGUGACAUGGACAAUGAUUACGAAAGUCCAGACAUCCACAAAAAACCUAAGCAAUCUCCUUCCCUCGAAGAUGUAUCAUCUUCAGGGAAACCAGUUCCAUCGUCGGUUAACCUAACUAACACGUUGAUCCCAACCUCUGAUCAUGAUAGGCAGAAUUCCUCAAAUAAUGUGAUCAACAGUAAUGUUAUCAAGAAUCCUAACACAACCAAAAGUCGCGAUACGAAUGACAUGCCACACUCCGACAUGAAAGAAGAGGCAUUGUCACCGCAGCAUUUCGAACCACGACGGCAAACCGUUCUUAUGUGGGGUACGUCACAAGCAUCCAAACCCAAAUACAAUUGUUCAACCUACAACAACGAUCACAGUUGUUCCAAUAACACUACUCCAACUACCACUAGUUGUACCACGAAUUGUUCGUCUUCACAAUCUCCUGCUUCCAAUGAUCGAAUUAUUGUUAAUUCAAAUGAAGAAAACAAUUUAAAUCUCGAAAGGAAUGAAACAGGAAAGGUAAUCGUUGAGGGUGGAUAUUAUUUAAUUACAAUGCACGAUUGAAAACAGCAUCAGAGCCACCUAAAUUACAGCGGAGUGUUUAACUAGCAAUAUCAACGCACACUACCUAGCAUUCCUUAAGAUUAUUAAACCAUUCAUGAGUGAUUACAUUAGCUGCAACUCAACCAUGCUUAGAUGGCACUUUUCCGAUUUGUAGAGUAAGGAUCUUGGCAAAAACGACGACGUACUAGUCCCAACAUCGGGAAUCCCGAGUAAUGAGCGACUUGGUCUUUCGCCGAACGACGAGAAGCUGGUCAAUAGUCCUCUGUUAUCUUUAUCCGAUGUAACGAAUACAUUAUUGGAACAAUA